CCCGAACCUACUCCCAGAUUUCCCCGGAUAUUCCCGAUUUUCCAGCCUCCAACCCCUCAUUCCCAAAUUCCGGAUGAAUCCCCAGCUUCCCGGGAUGGAGGAAGAAUUCCAGGAAAAUUCCACGGAGCUGCUCCGGGUGCGGCGGGAAAACCAAAAACUCCGGCUCCAGCUGGAAGCGUCGCGGGAAGCCGGGAUGGGAGCGCUCCGGGAAGUUUCCGGAAACUGGCCGGGAUUUUCGGGAUGGAGGCGGAAAAGCGGGAAAAGGAGACGGAGGAGC